UACGAACUGUGCAAACGUUAUUCGGAAUCACUGGGCUUAAAGGGUGCGUAGGCGGUUUGUUAAGUAGGGUGUGAAAGCCCCCGGCUCAACCGGGGAAUUGCGCCCUAAACUGGCGGACUAGAGUGAGAUAGGGGUGUGCGGAACUUCCGGUGGAGCGGUGAAAUGUGUUGAUAUCGGAAGGAACGCCGGUGGCGAAAGCGGCACACUGGGUCUUAACUGACGCUGAGGCACGAAAGCCAGGGGAGCAAACGGG
rnacentral:rRNA from 1 species